rnacentral:rRNA from 1 species
GAUGAACUUUGGCGGCGUGCUUAACACAUGCAAGUCGAACGAAGCACUUUAAUUGAUUUCUUCGGAAUGAAGUUUUUGUGACUGAGUGGCGGACGGGUGAGUAACGCGUGGGUAACCUGCCUCAUACAGGGGGAUAACAGUUGGAAACGACUGCUAAUACCGCAUAAGCGCACAGGAUUGCAUGAUCCAGUGUGAAAAACUCCGGUGGUAUGAGAUGGACCCGCGUCUGAUUAGCCAGUUGGCGGGGUAACGGCCCACCAAAGCGACGAUCAGUAGCCGACCUGAGAGGGUGACCGGCCACAUUGGGACUGAGACACGGCCCAAACUCCUACGGGAGGCAGCAGUGGGGAAUAUUGCACAAUGGGGGAAACCCUGAUGCAGCGACGCCGCGUGAGCGAAGAAGUAUUUCGGUAUGUAAAGCUCUAUCGGCAGGGAAGAAGAAUGACGGUACCUGACUAAGAAGCACCGGCUAAAUACGUGCCAGCAGCCGCGGUAAUACGUAUGGUGCAAGCGUUAUCCGGAUUUACUGGGUGUAAAGGGAGCGCAGGCGGUACGGCAAGUCUGAUGUGAAAUCCCGGGGCUCAACCCCGGUACUGCAUUGGAAACUGUCGGACUAGAGUGUCGGAGGGGUAAGUGGAAUUCCUAGUGUAGCGGUGAAAUGCGUAGAUAUUAGGAGGAACACCAGUGGCGAAGGCGGCUUACUGGACGAUUACUGACGCUGAGGCUCGAAAGCGUGGGGAGCAAACAGGAUUAGAUACCCUGGUAGUCCACGCCGUAAAC